rnacentral:rRNA from 1 species
GUCCAGACUCCUACGGGAGGCAGCAGUGGGGGAUAUUGCACAAUGGGGGGAACCCUGAUGCAGCGACGCCGCGUGGGUGAAGAAGCGCCUCGGCGCGUAAAGCCCUGUCAGCAGGGAAGAAAAUGACGGUACCUGAAGAAGAAGCCCCGGCUAACUACGUGCCAGCAGCCGCGGUAAUACGUAGGGGGCAAGCGUUAUCCGGAUUUACUGGGUGUAAAGGGGGCGCAGACGGCGAUGCAAGCCAGGAGUGAAAGCCCGGGGCCCAACCCCGGGACUGCUCUUGGAACUGCGUGGCUGGAGUGCAGGAGGGGCAGGCGGAAUUCCAGGUGUAGGAGUGAAAUCCGUAGAUAUCUGGAGGAACAUCAGUGGCGAAGGCGACUAUCUGGCACAUAACUGACGCUGAGGAGCGAAAGCGUGGGUAGCAAACAGGAUUAGAUACCCUCGUAA